AAAACUUUCAACAACGGAUCUCUUGGCUCUAGCAUCGAUGAAGAACGCAGCGAAACGCGAUAAGUAAUGUGAAUUGCAGAAUUCAGUGAAUCAUCGAAUCUUUGAACGCACAU
rnacentral:rRNA from 1 species